UCCUACGGGGGGCUGCAGUGGGGAAUAUUGCACAAUGGGCGCAAGCCUGAUGCAGCAACGCCGCGUGAGGGACGACGGCCUUCGGGUUGUAAACCUCUUUUAGCAGGGAAGAAGCGAAAGUGACGGUACCUGCAGAAAAAGCGCCGGCUAACUACGUGCCAGCAGCCGCGGUAAUACGUAGGGCGCAAGCGUUAUCCGGAAUUAUUGGGCGUAAAGAGCUCGUAGGCGGUUUGUCGCGUCUGCUGUGAAAUCCGGAGGCUCAACCGCCGGCCUGCAGUGGGUACGGGCAGACUAGAGUGCGGUAGGGGAGAUUGGAAUUCCUGGUGUAGCGGUGGAAUGCGCAGAUAUCAGGAGGAACACCGAUGGCGAAGGCAGAUCUCUGGGCCGUAACUGACGCUGAGGAGCGAAAGGGUGGGGAGCAAACAGGAUUAGAUACCCCGGUAGUCG
rnacentral:rRNA from 1 species